CCCCGCACCCACAAGUCCCACCUGUACCUCACACCUUGCCUUCUCCUGCAAAGCACUCUGCUCCUGCAGGCUGUGGUCCAUAGCCCCAUAUCCUGCCCAAAUCCUCCUAUGUUCCUGGACCCACAGUGCCCCUCACAUCCCUUUCACCCACAGCUGUGCCCUGCACCUGCUCCAGCUCCGCAUUCCUCUCCUGCAGCAGCCACCCCUGCCCCAGCACCCUAUGGCUGUACAAGAGCUUGAUGGGGAUGGGGUUGAGGAGGGCACUCAGGUGGGCUAUGGGGUUCCUGGGAUGGUGACAGGGGUGCUGCUGUCAGGGACUGUGGGAAUCGGUGAGAUCCCGGGGUUGGGGUCUUGGAGGUGGGAAAGGAGGUCUGAAGGAGGAAAUAGAGGAAACACGGGGGUUCUGCAGGAGGCCAGUGGGGGACAUGGGGUGAUGCUGGGGACUGUGGGGCUCCGUGUGCGUAUGGGCCAUCUACGGGAGAGGCGUACCGGGUCUGAGGAGGUCCUAGAGGGUGUAUGGUGCUCUGUGGGGGGCUACAGGGCGUCUCUAGGGGUCUUGCUGGGGAAACACUGGGGUGGAUAUUGGGGCUUUGAGGGAAUGAUGGGUGGGCUGUCAUGGGAAAGCAAAGAGCAACCUUGGGGAAAGCAAGGGACAACCAGGAGGAUGGAUGGGAAUCCUACAGGAAUGCAAGGGGAAUCCAGGCUGAGGCAAGGGGACAGCUAGGGGAAGAACAGGGGGACGUCCCAGCAACUGACUUCUUCUUUCACAGCCACAUCUUCUACUUCCCAACUGAGCUGCAAAGCUGCCAGACGAGCUGCAGUACCGCUGCCCGGCUCCUGCCUGGGUCAGAAAGAGCUGCACGUUAACGGGGUGCAAUUGACAUUCAAAAGCCAACUCCAUCACGGCAGUCACACAGCCAUCCCCUUCAGUAUCUCUUACAGGCAGACGGCCAUGCCCUUGCACAGGAACCGUUCCUACGGAGUGAGGGAAGUCCUUCACUGCCUUAGGACAACACUAAUAGGGGAAGGGCCCCAAACCAUUCAGAACAUGCUUCAGAACAUGCUAUCAAACCACCGACUUUGGCAGCUAAACACACCUUCUCCGUCAAGAAUUAGCAAGACCAAUUAAUGCCCCACAUUCCCCUAUAUUCC
ensembl:lncRNA